CAAACCUCAGAAAGCCAAUCUCAGUUCGGAUUGUAGGCUGCAACUCGCCUACAUGAAGUUGGAAUCGCUAGUAAUCGCGAAUCAGAAUGUCGCGGUGAAUACGUUCCCGGGUCUUGUACACACCGCCCGUCACACCACGAGAGUUUACAACACCCGAAGUCAGUGGCCUAACCGCAAGGAGGGAGCUGCCUAAGGUGGGGUAGAUGAUUGGGGUGAAGUCGUAACAAGGUACC
rnacentral:rRNA from 1 species